AUGUGGCCCCAACACUGCCUCCCUUCCCACCCCACAAUGUUAGAAGAAACUCAACAGAGAAAAUUGGCAGCAGCCAAGAAAAAGCUAAAAGAAUAUCAGCAGAGGAACAGCUCUGGUGUUCCGGCAGGAACGAAGACAAAAAAGAAAAAAACUGGCAGUAGCCCUGAGAGAACCACUUCUGGUGGCUGCCACUCACCUGGGGAUAGCUGGAACCAAGAACUGAAAGUAGCCCUGGACUCAAGCUCCGCAACAAUCAAUCAACUCUGUGAAAACAUAGAAUCAUUGAAGGGGUUGGAGCCCCUGGUGCCAAGGGCAAAUGGGGACCUGGAGCACCCAGGCCUCACCUGGAGGGACCCCAGAGCAAGGAGCAUGCAGCAUGGCUCUUCUGUCACUGCCCUCUUUGUUGACUCUCUCUUCUCCAGACACCCCUGCUCCGAAACAACAGAGAAACAAGUGGAACAUCAGCUGGAAAAAGAAAAGAAAGCAAACAAUGAAAUACACGAAGCACAGACGGAGCAGUUAGAGACAAUCAACAUCCUCACGCUGGAAAAGGCAGACUUGAAGACCACCCUUUACCAUACUAAACGUGCCGCCAGAUGCUUCAAAGAAGAGUCCAAGGAUCUGGCCGGCCGCCUGCAAUCCUCCUUACAGCGUAUUCAAGAAUUGGAGCGGGCUCUCUCUGCUGUGUGUACACAGCAGCGGGAAGAGGACAGGUCCUCGAGCCGCAGUGAAGCAGUCCUCCAGCGGCAGUUACAGCAGACCAGAAAGGAGCGGGCGCUGCUGAACGCACACGUGACACAGGUGACAGAGUCACUUAAACAAGUCCAGCUAGAGAGAGAUGAAUAUGCUCAACAUAUAAAAGGAGAGAGGGCCCAGUGGCAGGAGAGGAUGUGGAAAAUGUCGAUGGAGGCUCACGCAUUGAAGGAGGAGAAGAAGCGUGACAUACAUCGGAUACAGGAGCUGGAGAGGAGCUUGUCCGAACGCAAACCCCAGAUGGCUGAGCCCUCAUCCUCAGCACCCCCAGCAGGGACCUCUGAGGUGGAACAGCUACAAGAUGAAGCCAAACACCUGAGGAAGGAGGUGGAAAGUCUGGAGGGAAAGCUCCAAUCCCAGGUGGAAAACAAUCAGGCCUUGACUCUCCUGAACAAGGAACAAAAGGAGAGACUCCAGGAGCAGGAGGAGAGGCUCUGAGAGCAGCAGGAGAGACUUCAAAAGCAGGAGGAGAAGAUCCAAGAGCAGGAGGAAAGGAGGCUGCAGGAGCAGGAGAGACUGUGUGAGCAAAAGGAGAGGCUUCGGGAGAAGCAGAAGAGGCUGUGGGAGAAGGAGGAGAGGCUACGAAAGCAGGAGGAGAGGCUGCGAAUGCAGGAGGAGAGGCUCCUGCUCUCCCAGAACCACAAGUUCGACAAGCAGCUGGCUGAGCCACAAUGUGACUUGGAGGAUCUGAACAAUGAGAACAAAAGCACACUGCAGUUGGAGCAGCAAAUAAAGGAGCUGCAGGAGAAGCUGAGCAAGGAGUGCCUAGAAGCUGCCGGCCAGCAGAACCAACAGCUGGAGGCCCAGCUGAGUCUCAUGGCUCUCCCUGGACAAGGAAAUGAAGGAGGACAUCUGGACGGUGAGGAGGAGGAGGUGCCUCAGCUCAUGCCAAGCAUCCCAAAGGGCCUGGAGAGCCAGGAGGCCAUGAGCGGCUUUAUGGACCUCCCAAAGGAGAAGGUGGAUGGGAAGGAGCAGGUGGAGAAUCUAGAGCUUGGAUUCAUCCAGCUCUCUGGAGCAACAGACGGCAUGAGAGAGUACUUCACCAUAUAUGGGAGCCAAGGGGCAGUCCCAAACACGCGGCACCAGGAGGAGGAGGACGUCAGCAGUCUGGCCCAGAAUGAGGAGGAGAUGAACGUGAAGCUGCUGGAGCUGCAGGAGCUGGUGUUGCCGCUUGUGGGUGACCACGAGGGGCAUGACAAAUUCCUCCCCACUGCCCAGAACCCUGCUGAUGAGCCCGCUCCAGGGGCCACAGCCCCCCAGGAACUUGGGGCUGCCCAUGAGCAGGGUGAUUUUUAUGAGGUGAGCCUGGCCAACAGCAUGGAGCCUGCACCAGGAGAGGCCAGGGAGGGUUCUCCCCAUGACAACCCCACUGCACAGAAGAUUGUACAGCUGCUUCCUGUAAUGCAGGACACCCAGGAGCACCCAGGCUUUGCCAGCAAACCCUGCGUGCCAUUCUUUUACCGGGCAGCUGAGAACAGAGAGAUAAAAAUCAUCAUCAUCUAAGAGCUGGUCAAGAAAUUAAAAAAAAAAAAAAACAAUUAUGGGGUUAAUCCCCUACACAAUUCAUCUACUUCAUUGGAAUGUUAGAGCCCCUCAUGUUUAUUUAUGUUUCUAAUUUACAGUUUAAAUUUCUUUCUGAAAAGUUAAGGGAGAGUGGGUCUUUCCCUGAUGUUCACUCUG